CCUACGGGUGGCAGCAGUGAGGAAUAUUGGUCAAUGGGCGAGAGCCUGAACCAGCCAAGUCGCGUGAAGGAUGACGGCCCUACGGGUUGUAAACUUCUUUUGUCAGGGAGCAAUUGAGUCCACGUGUGGGCUUAGCGAGAGUACCUGAAGAAAAAGCAUCGGCUAACUCCGUGCCAGCAGCCGCGGUAAUACGUAGGAUGGGAGCGUUAUCCGUAUUGAUUGGGUUAAAGGGGAGCGUAGGCGGAAUAUCUAGUCAGCGGUAAAAAUUCGGGGAUAAACCCCGUCGGGCCAUUGAAACUGAUGUUCUUGAGUAGGCGAGAAGUAUGCGGAAUGCGUGGUGUAGCGGUGAAAUGCAUAGAUAUCACGCAGAACUCCGAUUGCGAAGGCAGCAUACCGGCGCCCAACUGACGCUGAAGCACGAAAGCGUGGGUAUCGAACAGGAUUAGAUACCCGAGUAGUC
rnacentral:rRNA from 1 species